UAUCAGAUGCUGAGGAAAUAUCAAGCCAUCACAAUCCGGCUGAAUACAUUUCAGCCGAGAUUAAACAAACUGAGAUUUCACAAGUAAGUUUCACAGCUUUACGAAAUACCAUAUAAGUUUUACGUGCUCACAUACUAUUAUUUAUUUUUUGUAUUUAGGACACCAAUGUUAUUAAAAGCAGUAGCCCUCCCACUGGUGAAUCGACAACUAAAACAAGAGCUCGAAAGACUACUGAUGCUAUUGAACUUCAGUUACCACAAAAAACUCCACACCGCAGGGUCAAGCACGUAAAGAUGGAACCAGUAAAUUUUACACAUAAUAACUGUUGACGUGAGGUGGAUUACAACAACAAUAUUAAUUGUUAUGUAUGUCAUGUGAUGAAGUGACUGUAGGACAAAGCAGCUGAAUCUUGGUUGCAGAAGCCGAAUCUAAACUUUUAUUAC
rnacentral:lncRNA from 1 species